UACGUAGGGGGCAAACGUUGUCCGGAUUUACUGGGUGUAAAGGGUGCUCAGGCGGUCUUGUAAGUUAGAAGUGAAAUCCUAGGGCUCAACUCUGGAACUGCUUUUAAUACUGCAAGGCUUGAAUAUGGAAGAGGAGGGUGGAAUUUCUGGUGUAGCAGUGAAAUGCGUAGAUAUCGGAAAGAACACCAGUGGCGAAGGCGGCCCUCUGGUCCAUUAUUGACGCUAAAGCACGAAAGCGUGGGGAGCAAACAGG
rnacentral:rRNA from 1 species